UACAGAGGGUGCAAGCGUUAAUCGGAGUUACUGGGCGUAAAGGGCGCGUAGGCGGUUAUUUAAGUUUGAUGUGAAAUCCCUGGGCUUAACCUAGGAACUGCAUUGAAUACUGGGUAACUGGAGUACUGUAGAGGGUAGUGGAAUUUCCGGUGUAGCGGUGAAAUGCGUAGAGAUCGGAAGGAACACCAGUGGCGAAGGCAGAUCUCUGGGCCGUAACUGACGCUGAGGAGCGAAAGCAUGGGGAGCGAACAGG
rnacentral:rRNA from 1 species